rnacentral:rRNA from 1 species
AUUAGUGGCGGACGGGUGAGUAACGCGUGGAUAACCUGCCGUAUACAGGGGGAUAACACUUAGAAAUAGGUGCUAAUACCGCAUAAGCGCACGGUUCCGCAGGGAACAGUGUGAAAAACUCCGGUGGUAUACGAUGGAUCCGCGUCUGAUUAGCCAGUUGGCGGGGUAACGGCCCACCAAAGCGACGAUCAGUAGCCGGCCUGAGAGGGUGAACGGCCACAUUGGGACUGAGACACGGCCCAAACUCCUACGGAAGGCAGCAG